CGAACGGGGAGAUUCAUCGUCAGCGGACGCCGGCUUCGCGUCGGUCGGCGAUGUCCCGCGGGGGCCCUCGCGGCUCUCAGCGCRGGCACGCUGCCGUGCGCCGAUGUAUCCGGCUUCGCCRUCGUGCACUUCUCCCCUKGUAGAACGUCGCGACCCGCUGGGUGUCGGUCUACGGCCCGGGUGCGGUGCCUGACGCGCCGCCGGUAAAACGGCGCGCGUCAAACCCCCGGUCGCCCGGCCGGCUGCCCGGYGGUACGCGCAAGGUAUCAGGCCGCACAYACAUUWRAACGGUGCRUCGAGGYYGUCGCAAGCGCGCGCCACGGUACACGGAGGUACGGACCUAGCGCCGUCACCGGUCCUGGCCCGCUGUUGGUCGUACGGUUAACCUUCGACAGGCCUACGAACGUCCCAGCGUGGGGGUGUCGGGGGCUCGUCUCCCGCGCGCUCUCGCGUUGGC
rnacentral:rRNA from 1 species